rnacentral:rRNA from 1 species
UACAGAGGGGGCAAGCGUUAUUCGGAAUUAUUGGGCGUAAAGCGCACGUAGGCGGCUUUGCAAGUCCCAUGUGAAAUCCCACGGCUUAACCGUGGAAGUGCAUGGGAAACUGCAGAGCUUGAGUACUUAAGAGGAUCGCGGAAUUCCCGGUGUAGCAGUGAAAUGCGUAGAUAUCGGGAGGAAUACCGAUGGCGAAGGCAGGUCUCUGGGCUAUAACUGACGCUCAUGCACGAAAGCGUGGGGAGCAAACAGG